rnacentral:rRNA from 1 species
UUGACCUCAAAUCAGGUAGGACUACCCGCUGAACUUAAGCAUAUCAAUAAGCGGAGGAAAUCGAAUCCGCGGCCGCCAGGCCC